rnacentral:rRNA from 1 species
AACGUAGGAUCCGAGCGUUAUCCGAAUUCACUGGGCGUAAAGCGCGUGCAGGCGGUUCGGUAAGUUGGAUGUGAAAUCUCCCGGCUCAACUGGGAGGGGACGUUCAAUACUGUCGGACUCGAGGACGGUAGAGGGAGGUGGAAUUCCCGGUGUAGUGGUGAAAUGCGUAGAUAUCGGGAGGAACACCAGUGGCGAAGGCGGCCUCCUGGACCGUACCUGACGCUCAGACGCGAAAGCUAGGGGAGCGAACGGG